rnacentral:misc_RNA from 1 species
CCGAGGUCUGAAGGGGCAACCCUUCAACCCCCAACCUGUGUUUAUCCUUGUACCGCGUUGCUUUGGUCUCUUUUGCGAGGGGCCAAAGUUUUCCAUUCUGUAUUUCUGUGUCUGAACUGCAUUUUUUUAAAAAAAGCA